rnacentral:rRNA from 1 species
GAUGAACGCUAGCGGGAGGCCUAACACAUGCAAGCCGAGCGGUAUUGUUUCUUCGGAAAUGAGAGAGCGGCGUACGGGUGCGGAACACGUGUGCAACCUGCCUUUAUCUGGGGGAUAGCCUUUCGAAAGGAAGAUUAAUACUCCAUAAUAUAUUGAUUGGCAUCAAUUAAUAUUGAAAGCUCCGGCGGAUAGAGAUGGGCACGCGCAAGAUUAGCUAGUUGGUGAGGUAACGGCUCACCAAGGCGAUGAUCUUUAGGGGGCCUGAGAGGGUGAUCCCCCACACUGGUACUGAGACACGGACCAGACUCCUACGGGAGGCAGCAGUGAGGAAUAUUGGUCAAUGGGUGCAAGCCUGAACCAGCCAUCCCGCGUGAAGGACGACUGCCCUAUGGGUUGUAAACUUCUUUUGUAUAGGGAUAAACCUACCCUCGUGAGGGUAGCUGAAGGUACUAUACGAAUAAGCACCGGCUAACUCCGUGCCAGCAGCCGCCGUAAGAC